GAAGGUGUAGGUCAGUGGUAGAGCACAUGCAAAGUAUGUAUGAGGCCCUGGGAUCAAUCCCCAGCACCAUAA
rnacentral:tRNA from 1 species